rnacentral:rRNA from 1 species
UACGAGGGGGGCAAGCGUUGUUCGGAAUUAUUGGGCGUAAAGAGCUCGUAGGCGGUUUGUCGCGUCGGCUGUGAAAACUCGGGGCUCAACCCCGAGCCUGCAGUCGAUACGGGCAGACUAGAGUGUUGCAGGGGAGACUGGAAUUCCUGGUGUAGCGGUGAAAUGCGCAGAUAUCAGGAGGAACACCGGUGGCGAAGGCGGGUCUCUGGGCAACAACUGACGCUGAGGAGCGAAAGCGUGGGGAGCGAACAGG